AUUUUCCCCGCGCUCGAGCAGCUGUAGCGACAACAAUGUCUGAUCAUCCCUGGCCGAGUGUCUUUACACCAAAACAGAGUGUCAUGUUCAUGCAUACCUGCUGUUGUCCGUGGCUGUGACCUGUCAUCAGAGAUGAUGAACCACUGAUCCUGCAGAAAGGUUUAAGGCACUUGUCCUCCAUAUUAGAAGACAUGAGAAGACUUCAAACAAUUUUUGUGAUUUUGAGUUCCCCUUUGCUGCUCCUUCCCCCCAAUCACCGGCUUGUUCCCACUAGGCUCCAUCUGCUCGUGGAGGGGGCCGCAGCAGCUGCAAAGCCUGAAUCUUGCGCUCCUCUGUGCUUGCCUGCCUGCCACUGCACACGAGCACCAGCUGUAAACUAGCCUACGCAGCCUAUAGCACUGCUGCUAAAAAUCACAGAGAGAUUAGGCAGGUGAUUAGUUAGUGAUAGCACAGAGUGGAUGGGAUUUUAGGUAAUACUGGUUAAACAAUAUAGAAAAUAGGCAUGUUUGAGAGUACUUUAUCUGAAAAGCUUACUCAAAUAGUUAAUACCAACUCAUAAGGUUAUAGGGUUAGGGUCAGUACAUAAUAUCUUCCUCUGGCCUCUGUAUUAUAGUUGUUUUUGUUGAUGUUUUUUCCAGACAAAAUUUUAAAUCUUUUUUGUCACUGUGGCACAAGAGCAACAUAUGGUGUAAAAAUUUUGUAUCAUCACAAUAACAACUUUGUUUUCAUUCAUUUAAAGUAUAUACGCACAAUGUCAUUUACUUGGUUGAGUUUUCAGCUUUCAAGUGUAAUGAACUUGACUACUUGAGUAAUGACUACUAAUAUUGCUAACUGGAAGGAAUAUAUUGAGCGGGACGUAAUAUUUGUAAAUAGGUGGCAAAAACUUGAAGGGUUUUAUGGAGUUCUGCAUUUUGCGAAAGCUUCAGAGCAGUGGGGUUGAUAAGUUAAAGUUAGAUACUAUUGUCAUAUUAAGAAAGAAAGAGCUGUGAAAUGUUUUCAUACUUUUAAUAAUCUUUUGAAAUUAGACCCUGUUAUCUUUUAGAAGUAGAAUCUUUGCUUGGAUCAUAAAAUUUGCCUUUUUCAUAAACCUAACCCCAUCAAUAGGCAGUUACUUAUAGGAAUGAGUAGAUGGGAUUUUAUGUAAUACUGAUUAAACAAUAUAAACAAGUGCAUGUUUAAGAGCAGUUUAUGUCUGGGAAUGACAGCAGUUCACUUGAUCAUUUGUAUUCUUUUAUAAUAUUUCAGUACUUGAUAUUAGCUUCUGGUGUUAUUUUUACUUAUUUAUUAUUUUUGAAAAGCAUCAAGGAUAUGUUUUCUAUUUUGUAUAUUUAUGGCACUUCCUGUAUAUCUAAAGCAAAUGCCCAUAUCAUUUGAAUAAUAUAAAUGGCUUCUGAUAUUGCUGGGAUGGGACGUAUGGGAUGUCUGUUAAUGUCCCAUGUAUUUUGUGCAAGCUUUCAGUGUAGAGGUGCUGAAUACGACCAAGAGAAACGAGGAACAGACCAAGUUUGAGAUGUCACUGUUAUUUCAUAUUGAC